ACAAAACUUUCACCAAUAUUUAACGCCAUUAAUUCCCACCAAAAAUUUCAUGAAAAAUCAAACACUAGGCCGAAGGAGUUAUAAUAAUUAGCCAGCUACUAAUUAGCCGUGUCCUGUAGUUCGGUAAUGGACCUCUUCGUUUCUUUUCGUUCCAACCCUAACCUUUUUCUUCGCCUUUCUCUUCUCCAUCUUUUGCAUCUCUAAACCAGAAACUGAAAAAUUCAGAAAAUUAAAUCGAAAGUCAAACUCCUUUCCACGAAAUCCAAUCUCUCGAACAAACCCAAGCCAACAGCAACAGUUUGUUUCUCAUUAAACAAACCCCUUACUUCACGUUUGACUCUUGUUCUUCUUCGUUUUUUCUUGUUCAAUUUGUAUUUGAUUAGAUUUAAUGUUCUUGGAAGAUUAUAAGGUUUUCAGGAAAAAAAUCCGAUUUGGGGAAGAUUGUUGUAAAAACUUCAGGGUUUUAAGUGAAAUUGGGGAUUAUUUUUUGAAUCAGCUUUUGUACCAUGAAACAAAAUUGGUUGAUCUAAGCCGAUUCAAGUUGUUCUUUGUGAUUUCAGUAAUGUAGACGGUCUUACCAAGGUAAAAUCGAUUUCUAAAUUCUGUUUAAGUUCCCUUUUAAGCAGUUAACAUUAGAAGUCUUAUUAUUGAUGAAGCUGUUCUUUUUAUGGGUUUCUUUGAUACGGGAUUCUUGAGAUGUUCGUUGAUUUUAAUCCAUUUAAUAGAUCUAUCUCUUUCUAUCUUUGAUCGGAUUUUAGUUUUUCUGGGUCUGUAGUGUUGUUCUGUUUCAAUCUGAGAAAAUUUAGAAUCUAGGGUUUCAAUGGUUUUAUCUAGAAGUUUAUCAAAUUUACAUUGAUGAUUAUCAGAUUCACAUGAUUAUCAGAUUCACAGUUAAGGGUGGAAAGAUGAAACUCAAGGCAAUGCUUACAUCCUAUAUGUCUCAUAUGAUGUAUCAAUUUGGGAGAAUUCCAAACCUUGGCCCCAUCCUUGUUCAGGAUGAUGACAUACAAUCUUUCCCAAGACACGCAAAAAAAGUAGGACCUUAUAUUUUGGUGGAAAUUGGUUACUGUGAUAAUAAAUAAUUUGAGCUUCAUGUGAUUGAUUGUGUUUAAAUGUUUAGUCGUCACCCUUGUGCUUGAAUGUGAGAUUGUAACUGAUACUAAAGUUCAAGAAACUGUAAUUGUACUGAAGCCAAAACAAGAUGCUGGAAUUGCAUCGAAGACAAACAAAUUUUGGGGAGUGAAGUGGGAACCAAACAAAUGUUUGAUUUUUAAGCAAUAAAUCUGUGUAUCUACUGCAGUAUAGGAGUUUCUAACAUGGACCCUGUCAUGGAUAUGGACAGAAAUUUGGAGUACUCCAUUCCUAUAUGAGGUCACUGUUAGUGUUUAUGUUCUAGGGGAGCUACUAAAAAAGAACCUUUGGAGGCUAAUGGAAAUUUCAGCAGUGUGCUUAACAUGGGAUUCCUAGGAUCUUUUGAUCGCAUGGAACAAAACUUCCAUUAUGUGAUGCUAAGCUUAUGUUUGGUCUAUUUUUUGAAGAAUAUUCAAGUGAUGAUAAGCCAGUAGGGAGACAUUAUCCCAGUAAGAUCAGUUGGAUAUAAUUAAAAAAAAAAAUCCUUAGGUGAUUGUUGUAAUUAUGCAUGCUUCUUGAAACUUCGCAGCAACCAAAGGUUUAAAGAUUCUCGGACCGAAAAGAAAUGUUUAUGUACUCGAUAUACACAAUUACAUUUACCAAAGACAUCUGCGCAUAAAGAUGGUGUUAAACACGUCUAAGUGCAACAAACUUGUGGCAGUGAGAUACAUGCACCAUUUAGAGCUACAAAAGACAUGGGAGCUUAAAUUUUCUGGCAGAUGAAUCCAGCACAUUUACCAGAAUAAAUGCUUGAUUUUAAUGAGCGAAAAUGUCUUCUUUACACCUUUCUCUAAGUAAGUUUGCGUAAGUGAAAAUUUGUAACUUAGUUUUUCUGUGCUUAGUGGAACCUAUUUAAUUAAUAUGUUACUUACUUAAAAAUUUCUUGGGUCUUUUCU